rnacentral:rRNA from 1 species
AUUGAACGCUGGCGGAAUGCUUUACACACGCAAGUCGAACGGCAGCACGGACUUCGGUCUGGUGGCGAGUGGCGAACGGGUGAGUAAUGUAUCGGAACGUGCCCAGUCGUGGGGGAUAACGUAGUGAAAAUUACGCUAAUACCGCAUACGAUCUAUGGAUGAAAGCGGGGGAUCGCAAGACCUCGCGCGAUUGGAGCGGCCGAUAUCAGAUUAGGUAGUUGGUGGGGUAAAGGCCCACCAAGCCAACGAUCUGUAGCUAGUCUGAGAGGACGACCAGCCACACUGGAACGGAGACACGGUCCAGACUCCUACGGGAGGAAGCAGUGGGGAAUUUUGGACAAUGGGCGAAAGCCUGAUCCAGCCAUUCCGCGUGCAGGAUGAAGGCCCUCGGGUUGUAAACUGCUUUUGUACAGAACGAAAAGGUUUCUACUAAUACUAGGAGCUCAUGACGGUACUGUAAGAAUAAGCACCGGCUAACUACGUGCCAGCCGCCGCGGUAA